ACACCCUCAAGCUCUGCUUGGUGUUGGGCGUCUGUCCCGCCGUCCUGGCGUGGACUCGCCCCAAAAUUAUUGGCAGCGGUCCUGGCCGGCUUCUUGCGCAGCACUUCGCGCUCUGAGGCUUGAGGGGGGCCGCGUCCACAAAGUAGACUCCAAUAU
rnacentral:misc_RNA from 1 species